rnacentral:rRNA from 1 species
CCUACGGGUGGCUGCAGUGGGGAAUAUUGGACAAUGGGGGCAACCCUGAUCCAGCCAUGCCGCGUGUGUGAAGAAGGCCCUCGGGUUGUAAAGCACUUUCAGUGAGGAAGAACGCCUGGUGGUUAAUACCCAUCAGGAAAGACAUCACUCACAGAAGAAGCACCGGCUAACUCCGUGCCAGCAGCCGCGGUAAUACGGAGGGUGCGAGCGUUAAUCGGAAUUACUGGGCGUAAAGCGCGCGUAGGUGGCUUGAUAAGCCGGUUGUGAAAGCCCCGGGCUCAACCUGGGAACGGCAUCCGGAACUGUCAAGCUAGAGUGCAGGAGAGGAAGGUAGAAUUCCCGGUGUAGCGGUGAAAUGCGUAGAGAUCGGGAGGAAUACCAGUGGCGAAGGCGGCCUUCUGGACUGACACUGACACUGAGGUGCGAAAGCAUGGGUAGCAAACAGGAUUAGAUACCCUUGUAGUC